AUAAUUAGGGGCAGAACGUGUUGACUCCCAUGGUCUAUGGCUGGUCUCCGAAGGUGCAAAGAAUUCAAUAAUAGGUAUGGAAUUUAAGUUAUCCAUAAAGAUAAAAAUAAAAAGAUAAAAGAAUAAAAGUAUAAAAGUAUAAUACAAGAUAAUAGCAAGACUCAAAGUUAUCUCAGCAAAACCGUCUUUCUCCCCGGCAACGGCGCC
rnacentral:lncRNA from 1 species